rnacentral:rRNA from 1 species
UACGAAGGGGGCUAGCGUUGCUCGGAAUUACUGGGCGUAAAGGGCGCGUAGGCGGACAGUUUAGUCAGAGGUGAAAGCCCAGGGCUCAACCCUGGAAUUGCCUUUGAUACUGACUGUCUUGAGUACGGGAGAGGUGUGUGGAACUCCGAGUGUAGAGGUGAAAUUCGUAGAUAUUCGGAAGAACACCAGUGGCGAAGGCGACACACUGGCCCGUUACUGACGCUGAGGCGCGAAAGCGUGGGGAGCGAACAGG